UACGGAGGGAGCUAGCGUUAUUCGGAAUUACUGGGCGUAAAGCGUACGUAGGCGGCUUUGCAAGUUAGAGGUGAAAGCCUGGAGCUCAACUCCAGAACUGCCUUUAAAACUGCAUCGCUUGAAUCCAGGAGAGGUGAGUGGAAUUCCGAGUGUAGAGGUGAAAUUCGUAGAUAUUCGGAAGAACACCAGUGGCGAAGGCGGCUCACUGGACCGGAACUGACGCUGAGGCGCGAAAGCGUGGGGAGCAAACGGG
rnacentral:rRNA from 1 species